rnacentral:rRNA from 1 species
AACGAACGCUGGCGGCAUGCCUAACACAUGCAAGUCGAACGAGAGCUUCGGGUCUAGUGGCGCACGGGUGCGUAACGCGUGGGAACCUGCCCUUAGGCUCGGAAUAACUCCCCGAAAUGGGUGCUAAUACCGGGAAAUGUCCUCUGACCAAAGAUUCAUCGCCCUUGGAUGAGCCCGCGUUGGUUUAGCUUGUUGGUAGGGUAAAAGCCUACCACGGCGACGAUCCAUAGCUGGUCUGAGAGGAUGAUCAGCCACACUGAGACUGGGACGCGGCCCAGAAUCCUACGGGAGGCAGCAGUGGGGAAUAUUGGAAAAUGGGCGAAAGGCUGAUGCAGCAAUGCCGCGUGAGUGAUGAAGGCCUUAGAGAUGUAAAGCUCUUUUAUCCGGGAUGAUAAUGACAGUACCGGGAGAAUAAGCUCCGGCUAACUCCGUG